rnacentral:precursor_RNA from 15 species
AACUCAUUUCGCAGCCUGUCCAUUCAAGACGUAAGUGUAAGACUUUCUUGAGUUACCCGCGAUGAGUAUCUCAAAAAUUGUUACAUUUCAGAGCGAUAGCUAUCCACCUAUGGAGCAGGAA